UUUUUCAACUCUAGCUAUAUAAUAUAAUAAAAAGCAACCCCAAACCUGUUUCCCAAUUUGCCAUAUUUCUUUGAAUUGGGGGGUUUGCUUUCACUUACUCUUCUCUUUUCUGCGAGUUCUUUGGCUUUCUACUGACUGUAUUUACAACAUCCACAUUUUCCAAUCCAAAAAUCGAGAUUCACGGACCAAGUAUGUGAAACCACAGAUGUCCUUGAGGCAUGUGGUUUUUCUGCCCAUAUUUCACCCUUUCUCCCCAUAAAUCUCUUUCUUUGCCUGAGAGGCCAGAUGAUCUAGUCGUCUGGAAACAGAACUAAGACUUGCAGGUGCUUGAUUUACUGUUUCACUCAUGGUAUUUGCCAGGAACAUUUUCUUUUGGUGGUGGAGGGGGGCGGGCGGAGACAAAGUUUACCUCUGGGUCUGCGUUGCAGAGAAACCCUACAGGCAGGGACACACCCACUUGGAAACAAGGCUUCCCUGGAAGUGGGAGGAGACAGGAACUGCAGGUGCCCUCCUCUGGGGGCCAGAGUCAGCUAACAGCGGUCCAAGUGCGCAGGAGCACUCACCCUGCACCCGAGCCGAGCCGUCGGAGACGAGUCCAGAGGCUGGCUUGCCUGUGACGGUGCCAGGGAAGGUGGAGUGUGGUGAGCUGCUUGCCGGGCACGACCGCUGACACCAAAUCUGUAGACGUGCACCACCUCUUUCUCCUCCACGCAAGCCAGCCCCUCCUGCUGAAAGCUGUUAAGCCUGCCGUUUGGAUUUCUUAGAAUCCCAGCUCCCCAGGGACCUUUCUAGGGACAAACUGACCUCACACUGAAAUCCUGGCAGGUUUUGUAGCUUCUGGAUUGCUUGUUGCAACAGUUCUUAGGAAGUGCGAUUCGCUCCUACAUCUGCAUCUGUCCAUGCUUGCUCCUACCUACGCCCAGGAAGAGCCGGUGAGGCCCAGCUUCUGGGGAUCCUGCACAGCCCAACCCUGAGGCUGCUCUCCUUGCCUCCAAACACACUGUAUAGGUAUCUGGGAGCACAGACACCGUGGAAGCCGCCAGGAGGAGACUCAAGAGAAGACCUGCAGUUUUCAGUAUUCAAAAGCACCCGUGGUGGUGGUUGAUGCUGAGAACACCUGGUUCACUGUAGAGCUUUGUAACUGCUGGACUAAUCGUUUUGUUUCUCCGGCCCAGCCAAGGAGGGAUCAGUACCUAUCCUGGGCUUGGAGGGAAUGUACACGAGAGCCUCAGAGGUUGUUUGGCUUGGCUCUGACUCACCCUGACUCUGCAGUGAAGCAGAAAGGAGGAAACAUCACACCACCCAGGUGUGGCCGGCCUUCGACCAUUAUUGCAAAUCCCCAAGAGUUCCCACAAGCUCUCAUUUAACCUUAGUUGUGGUUACACUAAGACUUUGGGCUCAGGAAAGCUGUAGAAGAGGAGACAGGAUGAGGCGGGAAGAGGAGGAAGAGGAGGAGACCAGGAUGAAGGCAAAAGGGGACUUAGAGAUGAAGGAGGAGCAGGAUGGCGGCGAUUCGGGAGAACCCGUGGGCCCUUUUGCAAGUGCCCCGCCCACCCCAAUGCCCCACAACAAGGGGACCCGGUUUUCUGAGGCAUGGGAGUAUUUCCACCUGGCCCCUGCUCGUGCUGGCCACCACCCCAACCAAUAUGCUACCUGCCGCCUAUGUGGCAGGCUGGUGAGCCGUGGCCCUGGGGUCAACGUGGGCACCACAGCCCUGUGGAAGCACCUGAAAAGCAUGCACAGAGAGGAGCUGGAGAAGAGUGGCCAUGGCCAGACAGGGCAGCGCCAGGACCCAAAGCCACAAGGGCCUCAGCUCCCCAUGGGCAUUGAGGGAGACUGGGCCAGGUUCGUGGAGCAGGUGGGGGCCCUGGCUUUAUGGGCCAGCCAAAGAGAAAAGGAGGUACUUAGGAGGGAGAGGGCCGUGGAAUGGCGGGAGAGGGCCGUGGAAAGGAGAGAGCGAGCCCUGGAGGAGGUGGAAAGGGCCAUCCUGGAGAUGAAGUGGAAGGUGAAGGCUGAGAAGGAGGCCAGCCAGAGGGAGAAAGACCUGCCAACAGCAGCGCAUCCCUUUCAUUUUGUUUAAAUCGGGCUUUGGGGCAUCUAUUCUGAAAACACUCACUUUAGACUCAUAGCAAGCAGCUUAAGCACAAAGCAAAGUAGUUUAGUGUUUUGUUUUGGUUUUUUUUAAGAGAAAGAGCUCAUAGGAUGGGUUAAUUUCCGCAGUCUGAGUUGACUAAAUGCUUUUCAACAGGGUUCUUAGAGCUGUACUGACCCUUGGCCCCAACUUCAAAAUGUACUAGUUACAGAUAAACGUGUUGUUGCCACCAGGGGUCCGUGAGUUGUUUUGUGGAGGAAUGUACCAGUCUGUCAGCACUGAUGAGUGAAGAUAACCGAAUUUCUGCCUAGCGCUUAGUUUUGGUGGAGCUGAAGGUUUUGACGGUUGAGGCUGGUCGGGCAGCUGGAAUGUGCCUACGUGACCAGCUCACUCUGAGAUCCUACCACGAGCAGAACCUAGGCAUCUUUGGACCGAGGUGUUUGCACUUAUACGGGUGGUGAUUCGAGAACUGGAUUCAAAGCUUGUCCUUUGGGCCCAGCAGUGGAAGGACAAAGAAGCUUGAGCCUGAGCUCUCCAGACCCUUCCAAUGCAUAUCUUUCUCCUGUUGUUGCAGUGUUGUACCACCCGCUUGUAUUAAAGCUGUGUCAUCGAUACAACCUGCCUGAAUCCCCUGUCCUGUAAACUUGAAGCUUGCACAGGGAUGUAAGAGAAAAAUGGCACAAGUGAGAGGAGAAGAAGGGAGAGAAGAUCGAAAGCAUAAAGAAGAAAAAGCUGUGUCAUUGGGUGGGGACUUGGCAAGGCUUUCCGCUGGCAGCUGCCUCGUCUGAGUGAUUGAAGAUCUUACAGAGACCAUGGACAUUGUUUUGAACUUCAGACCCCUGAAUGGACCGUAAGAAUACAGAGGAUAAUUGUGAAAAAACAUACUCCCCUCCUCCAGAAAAGAAGUCUAACUUUUGAAAGAUUUGCCUCCUUUGUGGAAGAGUCAAAAACAGAGGCAUGAGCUUGCUGGCACAACAAGAUUGUCUGUUUUCUGCCAAAUCUGUAGAAUGUUGCAGUUGGAAGGAAUUGUACUGAUCAUCUGGUGUAGACUGAACCUUCAUUUUACACAUGAAGACACUGAGGCCCCAGAGGUAAAAGUGUCUUGCCCAAGGUCGAAGAGUUUGUUAUAAAGAAGCUUGUGCUACUUGUUUCAUGGAGUCUUAUCUUACACUAUUAAACUAUUCAGCUUAAUAUCUUCGACAGUUGAAACCAACCAUUCUUCAAAUGAAAAUGCAAAUUGCCUCCAAUAUCUUGACAAGUAAGAACCAAUCUAGAAAUCGUUCGUUUUUUUAUUCCCAUGGCAUACUUGCACCUAUAUGUCACAGAGGAAACAAUAGUGAGUGAUUUAUAUGUAUAUUUGCAGAUGUAUAUGUGUAUAUAUUCACACACAUAUUUGUUCGAGAAGUUUCUGUUCGUCUAUUUAUUCCCUUGCUUGCUUUUCAAUGUAAUUUCCUGGUGGAAUUCUGACCAAUUCUCUGGGUGAAACCAGGCAUGCUAUUUUUAAAUUGAAGGUAUUGAAUUAACUUCACCCUGGUGUUAUGUGACUCAGCAUCAAUUUUAGUUUCACUGUUCUUUAGCCAUUUAUGAUGUAUUUUUCUCUUUUGUUUUGCUCAGAGAAGGCCUUAUGGGUCUCCUAUCUACAUCUCCAAACAAUUCUCUUUCUGUUUAUCUGUCUCCUCCGUCCUCAGUACACACAACAGGUGGCUGAAGGAGAAGUUGCUCUAAUUACCCAGCACCCCGCUGGGAAGGUCACAUUUCUAGAAGAACUAGAUGAUGAUGCAAACAAAUGAACAACGAAAAACACUGCAUGGAAAGUCCUCUGAAGCACAUGGAAGACCCUCAGAGCUGAUUUUUCCUAAAACAGUACCAUGCCUUGUCACUUUUGAGAAAGUUAGAAAAACUUUCUUUUUUCUUUCUAAAAUAAAAUCAUGCCUUAUUGCUUUUGAAACAGAA